AUAUUGGUCAUGGGCGGAAGCUGAACAGCCAUGCCGCGUGCAGGAAGACUGCCCUAUGGGUUGUAAACUGCUUUUGUCCAGGAAUAAACCUAGAUACGUGUAUCUAGCUGAAUGUACUGGAAGAAUAAGGAUCGGCUAACUCCGUGCCAGCAGCCGCGGUAAUACGGAGGAUCCGAGCGUUAUCCGGAUUUAUUGGGUUUAAAGGGUGCGUAGGCGGCCUAUUAAGUCAGGGGUGAAAUACGGUGGCUCAACCAUCGCAGUGCCUUUGAUACUGAUGGGCUUGAAUCCAUUUGAAGUGGGCGGAAUAAGACAAGUAGCGGUGAAAUGCAUAGAUAUGUCUUAGAACUCCGAUUGCGAAGGCAGCUCACUAAGCUGGUAUUGACGCUGAUGCACGAAAGCGUGGGGAUCGAACAGGAUUAGAUACCCUGGUAGUCCACGCCCUAAACGAUGAUAACUCGAUGUUGGCGAUAGACAGCCAGCGUCCCAGCGAAAGCGUUAAGUUAUCCACCUGGGGAGUACGCCCGCAAGGGUGAAACUCAAAGGAAUUGACGGGGGCCCGCACAAGCGGAGGAGCAUGUGGUUUAAUUCGAUGAUACGCGAGGAACCUUACCCGGGGCUUUGAAAAGUUUAGGUGAAAGAGUUGCAGAGACGCACUCGUUCCUUUCGGGGACC
rnacentral:rRNA from 1 species